CCCUCAACACCCAUCCAACACUACAACUUUCAUAUCUUAUCUCUAUACACGCUGUGAGGCGUUGAGCUAACCAAUACUAAUUGCCCGUGAGGCUUGACCAUAUAACACCCAAGCAAUU
rnacentral:rRNA from 1 species